rnacentral:rRNA from 1 species
AGAGAGAGACAUGCGCGCAUAUCAAUAAGCGGAGGAAAAGAAACUAACAAGGAUUCCCCUUAGUAACGGCGAGUGAAGCGGGAAGAGCUCAAAUUUGAAAUCUUCAAGGUUCUACCUUGGCGAAUUGUAGUUUAUAGAAGUGUUUUCUGUUAGUGGAGUGGCAAAAGUUCUUUGGAAUAGGACAUCAUAGAGGGUGAGAAUCCCGUAUUUGGUCAUUCCUCCUAGCGUUGUGAUACACUUUCAACGAGUCGGAUUGUUUGGGAAUGCAGUCCAAAAUGGGUGGUAAAUUUCAUCUAAAGCUAAAUAUUGGCGAGAGACCGAUAGCGAACAAGUACCGUGAGGGAAAGAUGAAAAGAACUUUGAAAAGAGAGUUAAACAGUACGUGAAAUUGUCAAAAGGGAAGCGUUUGACACCAGUGUUGUUUUUCCGAAAAUCAAUUACGAAUGUUUUAGUUUUUGAGGAGUUAUGACUUCAUCGGCUUGCUCCUUUCUUUAUGAAACUUUCUUAAUGCACUUUUCGGUUAACAAGUCAACAUCAAUUUCUUUUGUUGUAAAAGGGUAUGAGGAAGGUGGCUUUCUUUUCGGAGAAAGUGUUUAUAGCCUUGUGCCUCUGCAAUCGGAGAGAUUGAGGUCUGCAGCGUAGAUCCUUCGGGGUUAGAUACAUUUGUGCUAAGUUAUAGCUUUUCAUAGACAACUUGUUGACUAUGUUUAGUCUUGUAGCUUACUCGCUUACGCUAUUUUACCUACGCUUAGGAUGUUGAUAGUCACAGCGUGUAC